rnacentral:RNase_P_RNA from 1 species
CGAGUCGGCCGGGCGGCCGCGUCGGGACCUACACAGGUCUCGCCGAGGAAAGUCCGGACUCCACAGGGCAGGGUGGUGGGUAACGCCCACCCGGGGUGACCCGCGGGACAGUGCCACAGAAAGCAGACCGCCGCCGUGUCCUGCACGCGCGGUAAGGGU